AUCAUGCAGUCACAAACCAACACACUGCUCAUCCUCAAACUCAAAAGCUCCGUACACAGUCUCUCUGUUUCCUCGUUCCUUCCUCUGCACUCUCCUUUUACACGCUUUCUUCCAUCUUUUCUUUUCUAGGGUUUCAUAGGAAGUCUUUUCACUGACUUUCAAAGUCUCCGAUUCUCCUUGUAAUACUACCGGAUUCUCGCGUUUAAUACCGCAGUUUUCUGCAGCUCUCCUGUAUUCGAUCCAACUUAGAAAAAUGGACUCCGAUUCGUGGCAUGCUCGUCUCUCCACUUCCUCGAAGCGCUAUCAGUCUCGAUCGGAUCUGUUCUUUGGAGGAGGUCAUGAUGAAGUUGACGUGGAAGAGGACUCGAGGGCUGAGUUUCUGUGCCCGUUUUGCGCUGAGGAUUACGAUGUCGUCGGGCUUUGUUGCCACAUCGAUGAGGAGCAUCCUCGGGAAGCCAGGAAUGGGGUAUGUCCAAUUUGUGCAAAGAGGGUUGGAAUGGAUAUUGUUGGCCAUGCUACGACGCAACAUGGGAGUUUUCUAAAGGUGCAGCGCAAGAGGAGAUUCAGAAAAGGUGGUUCUAAUUCGGCAUUUUCACAAUUGAGGAAAGAGUUAAGAGAAGGAAAUAUACAAAUCCCCUUUGGAGGAGGAUCCUCUUGCAUUGUUUCCUCAAAUACAGAGCCAGAUCCUUUGUUGUUAUCAUUUAUGUGUAAUGCGCGUAUAGUUGAUGAAUCUGUGGAUGUUCAGUCUCGUUCUUUGGUGGAAACAAGCUCUGUACACGAAAGCUCAAAAGAGGAUUUCUUGGAAAGUCUUUAGUCAACUUUCCACCCUUUGCAAGACCGACCAAGGGAAUCAAUGCAGGAAUUUAUUUUAUCUUCUUCACCACAUGAUCUGAUAAAUCUUUAGAUUGAACUGCCAUAUACAUGGACACUCUCCUCCCCCAUUGCUCCUUGUAUGGUGUGUUGGUGCACGUCCGUGCUUAUGACAGGAGAGACUGAGAGUGAGAAUGAGAGUGAGAACUUCACAACAGGCUAUGUUGUCUGAUGAGGACCAAGAGGAGAAGACUCGGAAAUGUGAGUUUGUCCAAGGACUGUUGCUGUCCACCAUUCUUGAUGAUAAUAUGUGAUGAGCUAAGAACAGUAUGCGCGGAAGACAUGCCAAAGCUAUAUUAGGACUGGAAAUCAAAAAUUAAGAUGGAAGAAGGUGAUUCCAUUAUGUUACUACUAGUGGUUAUAGGUCGGGGAAAUGUCUUUUGUUGUAAUUAGAAUUAUGUGUAUAAUGAAAAGAUGGAAGAACUUAUUCCUUA